rnacentral:rRNA from 1 species
GGGUGGUAAUGCCGGAUGCUCCGGUUGGAUGCAUGUCCUUCCGGGAAAGAUUCUAUCGGUAUGGGAUGGGGUCGCGUCCUAUCAGCUUGAUGGCGGGGUAACGGCCCACCAUGGCUUCGACGGGUAGCCGGCCUGAGAGGGCGACCGGCCACAUUGGGACUGAGAUACGGCCCAGACUCCUACGGGAGGCAGCAGUGGGGAAUAUUGCACAAUGGGCGCAAGCCUGAUGCAGCGACGCCGCGUGCGGGAUGGAGGCCUUCGGGUUGUAAACCGCUUUUGAUCGGGAGCAAGCCCUUCGGGGUGAGUGUACCUUUCGAAUAAGCACCGGCUAACUACGUGCCAGCAGCCGCGGUAAUACGUAGGGUGCAAGCGUUAUCCGGAAUUAUUGGGCGUAAAGGGCUCGUAGGCGGUUCGUCGCGUCCGGUGUGAAAGCCCAUCGCUUAACGGUGGGUCUGCGCCGGGUACGGGCGGGCUGGAGUGCGGUAGGGGAGACUGGAAUUCCCGGUGUAACGGUGGAAUGUGUAGAUAUCGGGAAAGAACACCA